AUUGAACGCUGGCGGAAUGCUUUACACAUGCAAGUCGAACGGCAGCACGGGUGCUUGCACCUGGUGGCGAGUGGCGAACGGGUGAGUAAUACAUCGGAACGUACCCAGUUGUGGGGGAUAACUAACCGAAAGGUUAGCUAAUACCGCAUACGACCUGAGGGUGAAAGCGGGGGACCGUAAGGCCUCGCGCAAUUGGAGCGGCCGAUGUCUGAUUAGCUAGUUGGUAGGGUAAAGGCCUACCAAGGCGACGAUCAGUAGCUGGUCUGAGAGGAUGAUCAGCCACACUGGAACUGAGACACGGUCCAGACUCCUACGGGAGGCAGCAGUGGGGAAUUUUGGACAAUGGGCGAAAGCCUGAUCCAGCCAUUCCGCGUGAGUGAAGAAGGCCUUCGGGUUGUAAAGCUCUUUCGGCAGGGAAGAAACGGCCUAGGUUAAUACCUUGGGCUAAUGACGGUACCUGAAGAAGAAGCACCGGCUAACUACGUGCCAGCAGCCGCCGCCG
rnacentral:rRNA from 1 species